rnacentral:rRNA from 1 species
GACGAACGCUGGCGGCGUGCUUAACACAUGCAAGUCGAACGGUGAAGCGCCUUCCUUUUUGGUGGGUGUGGAUGAGUGGCGAACGGGUGAGUAACACGUGAGUAACCUGCCCCCUUCUUCUGGAUAACCGCAUUAAAGUGUUGCUAAUACGGGUUAUUCUGUGUCUGUCGCAUGAUGGGUCUGGGAAAGUUAUUGUUUCGGUGGGGGAUGGGCUCGCGGCCUAUCAGCUUGUUGGUGGGGUGAUGGCCUUCCAAGGCGGUGACGGGUAGCCGGACUGGGAGGGUGGACGGUAAGACUGGGAAUGAGUGACGGAAAAGACUGAUACGGGAGGCAGCAGUAGGGAAUAUUGAACAAAGGGAGGAAGCAUGAUGCAGCGACGCCGGGUGAGGGAAGGAGGCAUUAGGGUUGUGAAACUCUUUCGCCAGUGAAGCAGGGCGGCCUAGUUUGUGGGUGGGUUGACGGUAGCUGGAUAAGAAGCGACGGCUAACUACGUG